rnacentral:rRNA from 1 species
UGGGGAAUAUUGCACAAUGGGCGCAAGCCUGAUGCAGCAACGCCGCGUGAGGGAUGACGGCCUUCGGGUUGUAAACCUCUUUUAGCAGGGAAGAAGCGAAAGUGACGGUACCUGCAGAAAAAGCACCGGCUAACUACGUGCCAGCAGCCGCGGUAAUACGUAGGGUGCAAGCGUUGUCCGGAAUUAUUGGGCGUAAAGAGCUCGUAGGCGGUUAGUCGCGUCUGCUGUGAAAACUCGAGGCUCAACCUCGGGCUUGCAGUGGGUACGGGCUGACUAGAGUGCGGUAGGGGUGACUGGAAUUCCUGGUGUAGCGGUGGAAUGCGCAGAUAUCAGGAGGAACACCGAUGGCGAAGGCAGGUCACUGGGCCGCAACUGACGCUGAGGAGCGAAAGCAUGGGGAGCGAAGCAGGAUUAGAUACCCUGGUAGUCCAUGCCGUAAACGUU